AGUGAACGCUGGCGGUAGGCCUAACACAUGCAAGUCGAACGGCAGCACAGUAAGAGCUUGCUCUUACGGGUGGCGAGUGGCGGACGGGUGAGGAAUACAUCGGAAUCUACUUUUUCGUGGGGGAUAACGUAGGGAAACUUACGCUAAUACCGCAUACGACCUACGGGUGAAAGCAGGGGAUCUUCGGACCUUGCGCGAUUGAAUGAGCCGAUGUCGGAUUAGCUAGUUGGGGGGGUAAAGGCCCACCAAGGCGACGAUCCGUAGCUGGUCUGAGAGGAUGGUCGGCCACACUGGAACUGAGACACGGUCCAGACUCCUACGGGAGGCAGCAGUGGGGAAUAUUGGACAAUGGGCGCAAGCCUGAUCCAGCCAUACCGCGUGGGUGAAGAAGGCUUUCGGGUUGUAAAGCCCUUUUGUUGGGAAAGAAAAGCAGCAGGUUAAUACCCCGCUGUUCUGACGGUACCCAAAGAAUAAGCACCGGCUAACUUCGUG
rnacentral:rRNA from 1 species